CCUCUUCAUAUAGAGAAUUAUUUUUCCUUCAUAGUUUUUGAAGCCAUGAAUCACAAAGCAUUAACUUUAUUUUUCAUAGCCUUUUUUGUCUUAAUUUUUUGUGCAUCCUCGGCAAACUCCAGGAGAUUGUCAGGAAAAUAUGGAAAAGUCCCUCAACAAACUAUACCCUCUUAUGGUCCAAUUCCCACGUACCCAACUACACCCUAUUAUCCACCAUCAAGUAAAGAAUCAAUAUGCAAGAAAAAUAUAAUUGGCAAAUGUAUAUCCACCAAAAAAAACACCACACCUUGAAAAACCAUGCAAGAGUUUUACCAAUUGUCAUAAAAUGAAACCAUAGAAGCAAAGGGAGGUGUAUUAAAAUGAAAUAAAAAUAAAUUAGUAGCUUUUUUUUAAAAAAAUAAAUGAAUUGCACUAUAUAUAUACUAUGUAUGUUUUAAGGGAAUAAAAUUAUUGUUGUGACCUAUAUGUUAUCGGUUUGAGGCGGUGGAAGUAGCAACUAAUGCAUGCAUUACAAUAUGAUGUCGCAUCAAACUCUUUAGGGUGCGGUUUGCCUUCGGAUCUACUAAUGCAGGAUGCUCUGUGCGCUGAUAUUGUAUCUUUUUUAUGUUUAAUUUAUAAUUAUACUAUUACUAUUGUGUUUUCUUUUGGUAUUCUGCAUGAUGUACUACUCUACUCGAUGCUUUGUAUCAAUGUGUAUGAAAUAUUAUUAAUACAUAUGGAUUAAGUAUAUAUGCUAUUUCGAAAA